GGCACAGUGGCUUAGUGGUUAACACGUUUGCCUCGGACCUCUAGGGUUAUGGGUUCGAUUCCUACCUCUGCCC